rnacentral:rRNA from 1 species
GACGAACGCUGGCGGCGUGCUUAACACAUGCAAGUCGAACGGAAAGGCCCUGCUUUUGUGGGGUGCUCGAGUGGCGAACGGGUGAGUAACACGUGAGUAACCUGCCCUUGACUUUGGGAUAACUUCAGGAAACUGGGGCUAAUACCGGAUAGGAGCUCCUGCUUCAUGGUGGGGGUUGGAAAGUUUCGGCGGUUGGGGAUGGACUCGCGGCUUAUCAGCUUGUUGGUGGGGUAGUGGCUUACCAAGGCUUUGACGGGUAGCCGGCCUGCGAGGGUGACCGGCCACAUUGGGACUGAGAUACGGCCCAGACUCCUACGGGAGGCAGCAGUGGGGAAUAUUGCACAAUGGGCGGAAGCCUGAUGCAGCAACGCCGCGUGCGGGAUGACGGCCUUCGGGUUGUAAACCGCUUUCGCCUGUGACGAAGCGUGAGUGACGGUAAUGGGUAAAGAAGCACCGGCUAACUACGUG